CUUGUAGCUCAGCUCUGUGAUCUGACAGCACAGAGAUGUUGAUUAUCAAGGUUCUCCCGAUUCUGAUGAUGUGCUCCUGUACCACAGGCUUGUUGCAGCCAUGUUAAGCACAGCAGUGAUGCUCGUGGCAUUAAAUGGGAAUGUGAGCUGUUCUAGACCCCUCACCCAGGAAAGCAGCUGCCCUCGCUGACCAAUUAAAUUGCCUUCCCUCUCAUUAAAACCCUUGUGCAGGCUCUGACAUCUCCUCUAGGCCAUAUUGAAAGACCUGAGCUGAUUGGAACUGCUGAAUCUGUAGGGAGGAUUUCAACACAGCUCUGAGUACUGGGACAUCGGAGCUGUGCAAGGAGUGGGGAGGGAAAUUCAAGCCCUCCCCCCUUCCCUUUGAAUCUGUAAUCACAAACUGGGUGAAAGGCUUAAGGAUUUUGGCCUAGCCCGUUGUCUAGGAAGGCUGGAAAGAUCAGCUGCUAACAUUUCACCACCAACUGUGAAAAGGCAAGGAAGUGGCUGCCGGGGCUGGAGCCUGUGGGAAUCCCUGCUCUCGAGCAUCAGCUACUCUCUCCCACCUACAACAAAAUAACAGGUAACUGGAGGAAAAGCAGUCUGGGCUGAUUUGUCACCACAUCACUGAAGUUUGAUACGAGGUUGAGUGUUUU
ensembl:lncRNA